rnacentral:rRNA from 1 species
AUUGAACGCUGGCGGCAUGCCUUACACAUGCAAGUCGAACGGUAACAGGUCUUCGGAUGCUGACGAGUGGCGAACGGGUGAGUAAUACAUCCGAACGUGCCUAGUAGUGGGGGAUAACUACUCGAAAGAGUGGCUAAUACCGCAUGAGAUCUACGGAUGAAAGCAGGGGAUCGCAAGACCUUGUGCUACUAGAGCGGCCGAUGGCAGAUUAGGUAGUUGGUGGGAUAAAAGCUUACCAAGCCGACGAUCUGUAGCUGGUCUGAGAGGACGAUCAGCCACACUGGGACUGAGACACGGCCCAGACUCCUACGGGAGGCAGCAGUGGGGAAUUUUGGACAAUGGGCGAAAGCCUGAUCCAGCAAUGCCGCGGGCAGGAUGAAGGCCUUCGGGUUGUAAACUGCUUUUGUACGGAACGAAAAGCCCCGGGUUAAUACCCUGGGGUCAUGACGGUACCGUAAGAAUAAGCACCGGCUAACUACGUGCCAGCAGCCGCCGUAA